rnacentral:tRNA from 1 species
GGGGCCGUAGCUUAAUUGGCUAAAGUGCCGGGUCGUCACCCCGGGAGAUACGGGUUCGACUACCGUCGGCUCCACCA